UACAGAGGUCUCGAGCGUUGUUCGGAUUCAUUGGGCGUAAAGGGUGCGUAGGUGGCGCUGUAAGUCGGGUGUGAAAUCCUGAGGCUUAACCUCGGAACUGCAUUCGAUACUGCGGUGCUUGAGGACUGGAGAGGAGACUGGAAUUCAUGGUGUAGCAGUGAAAUGCGUAGAGAUCAUGAGGAACACCGAUAGCGAAGGCAGCACACUGGUACGUGACUGACGCUGAGACGCGAAAGCGUGGGGAGCAAACAGG
rnacentral:rRNA from 1 species